UCUGUCUGUCUGUCUGUCUGUACUAAAACUGGAACGACACAGAAAAGGUAGAAUGUCACCUGCGCAAGAGUAGCUCGCAAAUUUGUGAGGCGUUCCGUAUUUCU